AUGUAUGUACUAUAUGGUUCCAUUUAUACAUGAAUUUCUACAGUGAGCUAUUUAAGGUGGUAGAAAUCAUUUUAUGUAGACAUAGCAUUAUUAUCCCGUUAAAAACGAGAGCAAAUACUUGUUUCUUAUAAUAGCCAAUGCUAUCAGAAGACUUAAAAACUAAUGGAUUUUAUCACUUUACAAAUUGUUAUGUAGACAUCCUUUUUUUCCUAAUAAAAAAAGAAUGUGUUGAUAGGUAUUCUGACACCAAAACUGCCCAAAAAUAGCACUAUAAAUUAGAACAUAUUUUUCAGUCUCAGGGUAGUAGUCAUCUGUAUUUAAGUUUUGUGUGAUUUAGAGAAAUUUCAUAAAUUAAUUUCUGUAGGACUUUAUAUUAACAAUUUAUUCAUAUUCUUUUCUUCUAAGGUUUCAUUGUAGGUAUAAUUAUGCAAAGCAAAGAAUCCAGGAAAGAAUUGCCAGAGAAGAAAUUAAAAAGAAGAUAUUAUAUGAAGGUACCCACCUCGAUCCUGAAAGAAAACACAACGGCAGCAGCAGCAAUUGAACAAUCUUGAGCAUAGAAGUCAAUGUAAACGAAGUUAAGAUCAACCACAUAAAACAUUUCAUGUGCAAUAAGCUCUCAAUCAAGUAAAUAAAGUUUAAGUUGUAGUCAUUUUUUUCCCACACUUGUGUGGAAUGAAAACUUGCCAGUUUAUUCUGGCCCUGUGUCUACUGCCAGGAUAGCAUUCUUACGUGUUACAUAUAGUGGACUUGUCAUCCUUAAAAUGUGAACAGAAUUUAUUGGCAGUGUGGCAAAGAAUUAUAAAACAUAGUGUUUAAUGUACUUGGAGUUUCCUUGUAGUAGUAAGUAUAGAGUUUGAUGAUAAGUAAACGUCCCUUAACAAAAACCUCAACCUUAUUACUAUCCCAUUAAAAAACAGCAAAUACUUACUGAGUUCUUGUAAGAGCUAAUGUCAUUGUAAGAUUUAAAACUAAGGGCUUUUAUCACUUUGCAAAUUAUUUUUUAAAUGCAUUCAUCAUUUGACAGUGUUCUCUCAUUUCUUAAAAUGCGAGUCAUCUUCCAAAAGAGUUGUUUUUAACUGCCCUAAACAUUCUCCAUCGCUGGUUUCCCUUUGCUUCGAUUAUAUAAUGCGAGGAGGUCUAUAUAAUAAAUUCAGGAUUCCUGUUUAUGCACUUUUCAGCAAAGAGCUAGGGAUCAAAUAGGGUUUCAAUCCUUCUAUUCAUAGAUAAAAAUCUGUGAUGGGGAUCAAGAUACCCCUUUAAAAGUCAUGUUAAGAUAUACACUAUUCUUUGCAUUUCACCGAAAGACAUUCUGGAGCGUAUAGUGGGGAAAAUAAAUUUCCUCUGAAGUCUUUUUCAGGGAAAUGGAAAAUUACAUAUUCUGGACUGAUACAACCAAAACUCACACAAGCUCUCCCAUUCCUUCAGUCUUGAAUUUACUUUAGUAACAUAUUUUCCUAAAAAUAAAAACAGACCAAACAUAUAUGCAUAUGUAACAACUGCAAUUUUAAUUCCUGAAGCAGUUCAAAAACACUACGGAAAAAAACAGAAGCCUAGCCAGUGGAAGGCAGUUUACCCUCAGAGUUGAAAGAACCAACUUAAUCUUGCCUUUCCUCCCAUCUCUUUAAGAUACUAACAAAAUGGAUAGAGACAAAGACAAAAAGUUUACCUAGAAUACCUCCCGGUCUAUAAUUUUUCUUUUCUUUUUUUUUUUUUUCUGAGACGGAGUGUUGCUCUGUCGCCCAGACUGGAGUACAAUGGCACGAUCUCAACUCACUGCAACCUCUGCCUCCCAGGUUCAAGUAAUUGUCCCUGCCUCAACCUCCCGAGCAGCUGGGAUUACAGGAACCCACUACCACACCCAGCUAAUUUUUAAAUUUUUAGUAGGAACGGGGCUUCGCCAUGUUGGCCAGGUGGGUCUCAAACUCCUGACCUCAGGUGAUCCAUCCACCUCAGCCUCUCAAAAUGCUGAGAUUACAGGCGUGAACCACCAUGCCCAGCCUCUCCCAGUCUAUUUUAAACACUGAGAUCAGGCCCUAAACAUUUUACUUACCAUCAUCUUAUCCAUAAUAGUAUUUGUGCCAAGAAUGUUAUAUUUCCCUGGAUUUUCUGCUGCAUGUUUAGUAACCCAGGUAGUUUUUCCAGCUCCUGGCAAGCCAAUCAUCAUCACAACCUAGUGAAAAGAAAAGAAAUGUCAUUUCACUGUCAGUAGACACCACCUAAUAAUUCUUUAAAUAUUGUUAAGGCCAAUUUAAAUAUCUAAGUUUUCAUAGCAUAGCUACUAACUUUGCCAUUUAUACAUAGAAAGUUAGCUUUAACUUACAGCAAAACAUGUAAUCACAUCAUUUUCAUCAAACUUUUCUCCAUAAUCUUCAGUCUCACAGUUGCAUGUUUUUAUUCCUUUUAGAGAAUACCCAUAAGAAAAUUCUUCUUCACCUAAGAAAAUAAUUAAUCUUCAUGAAGUAGAUGUUUAAAAUAGUCCAAAGACUCAUCUAUUUUACUACUUAAGAUGUAGGCUACAAGAGAAAUAAGCAUAUAACCUAAUCACCUGUCACUGACACUAUUACUUUUCUAUCUCUGUACCAGAAUUGAUGGAAGUUA
rnacentral:lncRNA from 1 species